rnacentral:rRNA from 1 species
UACGAAGGGGGCUAGCGUUGCUCGGAAUUACUGGGCGUAAAGCGCACGUAGGCGGACCAGCAAGUUAGGGGUGAAAUCCCGGGGCUCAACCCCGGAACUGCCUUUAAAACUGUUGGUCUGGAGGUCGAGAGAGGUGAGUGGAAUUCCGAGUGUAGAGGUGAAAUUCGUAGAUAUUAGGAAGAACACCGGUGGCGAAGGCGGCCCACUGGAUCGGUACUGACGCUGAGGUGCGAAAGCGUGGGGAGCGAACAGG